rnacentral:rRNA from 1 species
GAUGAACGCUAGCUACAGGCUUAACACAUGCAAGUCGAGGGGCAGCAUUUCAAUUUGCUUGCAAACUGGAGAUGGCGACCGGCGCACGGGUGAGUAACACGUAUCCAACCUGCCGAUAACUCGGGGAUAGCCUUUCAAAAGAAAGAUUAAUACCCGAUGGUAUAAUCAGACCGCAUGGUCUUGUUAUUAAAGAAUUUCGGUUAUCGAUGGGGAUGCGUUCCAUUAGGCAGUUGGUGAGGUAACGGCUCACCAAACCUUCGAUGGAUAGGGGUUCUGAGAGGAAGGUCCCCCACAUUGGAACUGAGACACGGUCCAAACUCCUACGGGAGGCAGCAGUGAGGAAUAUUGGUCAAUGGGCGCAGGCCUGAACCAGCCAAGUAGCGUGAAAGAUGACUGCCCUAUGGGUUGUAAACUUCUUUUAUAUGGGAAUAAAGUUUUCCACGUGUGGAAUUUUGUAUGUACCAUAUGAAUAAGGAUCGGCUAACUCCGUGCCAGCAGCCGCGGUAAUACGGAGGAUCCGAGCGUUAUCCGGAUUUAUUGGGUUUAAAGGGAGCGUAGGUGGACAGUUAAGUCAGUUGUGAAAGUUUGCGGCUCAACCGUAAAAUUGCAGUUGAUACUGGCUGUCUUGAGUACAGUAGAGGUGGGCGGAAUUCGUGGUGUAGCGGUGAAAUGCUUAGAUAUCACGAAGAACUCCGAUUGCGAAGGCAGCUCACUGGACUGCAACUGACACUGAUGCUCGAAAGUGUGGGUAUCAAACAGGAUUAGAUACCCUGGUAGUCCACACAGUAAACGAUGAAUACUCGCUGUUUGCGAUAUACAGUAAGCGGCCAAGCGAAAGCAUUAAGUAUUCCACCUGGGGAGUACGCCGGCAACGGUGAAACUCAAAGGAAUUGACGGGGGCCCGCACAAGCGGAGGAACAUGUGGUUUAAUUCGAUGAUACGCGAGGAACCUUACCCGGGCUUAAAUUGCAUUUGAAUAUAUUGGAAACAGUAUAGCCGUAAGGCAAAUGUGAAGGUGCUGCAUGGUUGUCGUCAGCUCGUGCCGUGAGGUGUCGGCUUAAGUGCCAUAACGAGCGCAACCCUUAUCUUUAGUUACUAACAGGUCAUGCUGAGGACUCUAGAGAGACUGCCGUCGUAAGAUGUGAGGAAGGUGGGGAUGACGUCAAAUCAGCACGGCCCUUACGUCCGGGGCUACACACGUGUUACAAUGGGGGGUACAGAAGGCAGCUACCUGGUGACAGGAUGCUAAUCCCAAAAGCCUCUCUCAGUUCGGAUCGAAGUCUGCAACCCGACUUCGUGAAGCUGGAUUCGCUAGUAAUCGCGCAUCAGCCAUGGCGCGGUGAAUACGUUCCCGGGCC